GAUGAACGCUGUCUACAGGCUUAACACAUGCAAGUCGAGGGGAAACGUCGGGGAAGCUUGCUUCGCCGAGCGUCGACCGGCACACGGGCGAGUAACGCGUAUCCAACAUGCCUCUGACUCAGGGAUAACCCACCGAAAGUCGGCCUAAUACCUCAUGGCAUCGUCUGCGGGCAUCCAACGACGAUUAAAGAUUUCAUCGGUCAGGGAUGGGUAUGCGUGUGAUUAGCUUGUUGGCGGGCUAACGGCCCACCAAGGCUACGGUCAGUAGGGGUUAAGAGAGGAAAGUCGCCCACAGUGGGUCUGAGGCCACGUGCAAACUCAGACAGGAGGCAGCAGUGAGGAAUAGUGAGCAAUGGGCGAGAGUGUGAACCAGGCAAAAAGCGUGCAGGAUGACGGUCUGAGGAGGUGUAAACUGCUUUUAUGCGGGGAUAAAGUGAGGGACGUGUCCUUCAGUGCAGGUACCGCAUGAAUAAGGACCGGCUAAGUCCGUG
rnacentral:rRNA from 1 species